GGUUGAGUGUGGUUAUAUUGACACUGUAAAUUUGCAUAAUUCUCUGUUUCAUAUUCUUCUAGAACCACUUUUGUUUAAGGGCAUUGCCAACCAACUCUAUAUUUUAUUCCGAAAUAGAGUGGAGAAAGUAGUGAUGAAAAAAAAAUAAAAAUAGUCUAUUGAUGGAAUAAAACUUUUAUUUUUGUUUAUUACUCCAUUUUAGAAUCUAUUUUGGAGAAAAUAUAGAAUGGGGUUGAAGACGCUUUUAUGAUAUAAAAAAUAUCAGAUCUCUUUUCGAAAAGGUAAGUCUUCUGCUAAGUUGUUAUAUUAUAACAUUGUAUGAACGACCAUGUUUGAUAUUUCUAUAUCUUUAUAUUAACCGAAUCAUUACUUUCGUUAAAAAUUGUAUUCAACGAACAUGUUUGGGAUAUAGGUGAUACAAUUUUUCAUAAUAAAAUUGUACAAGCUUAAGCCAUGUUGCAUUUCUCUAAAGACUUUUCACCGUUCAA
rnacentral:lncRNA from 1 species